GCCGGGACGCCGGGUCGCUCCAGCCCGGGCGGCCUGGGUCUGUUGGCCGCGAGCGGGGCAAGGCUCGGCCUCCUGGCUUGCCGCUCCCGCCGCCGAGGCCGGCGCGCCUGGCGUCCAGCCUCCCGAAGACGGAGCGGCGGCUCCGGCGGCCGCAGCUCGAAUUCUGCCCGCGGACGCCUGGGACGGUGGGGACAGGCUCGGGGCGGGCCCCGGCGUAGCGUGGCGGACCUCUGGGCCAUGGGGACGGGUGCGGGCAAAGCGUCGAGAGUUCCAGGGGCUUGCGGCUCCACCAAGGAUGGAGUCGAGCGGCGGGCACGGGGGCGGCAAGGAACGGCAGCGCCUUUCUGGAGGGUGACGGCGGCUCGCCGCGGGUUUCUGGGAUUAGAGGCCCAGCCGCGGAUGCUCACGGGUAACGGGGUGGAGCCAGCGCAGGUUCCCGCGUCAGGAAACAUGACGGGCUGAACAGGAUGGGGGGACGCUAACCAGGUGAGUCACAGGGUCCCCGGGGCGGGGUGGGCAGAGCCAGGGGCAGGUGCAAGACUCCCAGGAGGAGGGAGGACUCCAGAGGCAGAGGGGUCACUUCCCUCCCAGGAAAACUAGCUAGAGGCCAGCGGAGACUGUGGAGGGCUGCUCUGGAGCUCAGGACACCAGGGAAGGGGAGACACCACCCACACCAGAGAGGGCUGAAGGAAAGGGGUCUCAGCAGGUAGGAAAAUCCCGUGAGUAAAGCCGCAAAAGCAGCAGGGGCGCCCUUGCCCCCACCUAUGGAGCAAAGAGCAGUCUGUGGUCUGCACUGGCUGUGGACUGAGGGGCUACAGGGGUCCUCUUCCUCAGAAAGGGGG
rnacentral:lncRNA from 1 species